rnacentral:lncRNA from 1 species
AGCAAAUGGAUCUGGGAAGAGCUCAAGAUAAUAGUGAUUCGAGUAGUGACUCGAGUGAUGAGGGUAAUAAGAAGAAGGGCAAAGGACGGGGCAAGUCUAGUGGUAGACGAUGUUACAAUUGCGGUAAGUCUGGAUACUUUAUUAGGGACUGUCCCAAGAAAAAGGAUAAGCUAAAGGGUAAGAUGAGAAGCAAGGCAAAUUUAGCUUUAGGAUCAAGUGAUGAUCCUAGCGAGGUUUAUUAAAGGCGAAUUUAGCUUUAGG